AGCCCGGUGGUGUACACUAACACACUGAAUUGCAAACUCAGAGUGGCAGGCUAGAGACCUGCCCGGACUU
rnacentral:tRNA from 1 species